UUCAAUCCCUGGUCGAGGAAGUAAGAUCUCACAUGCCGUGGAGCAACUCAGCCCAUGCACCACAACUCCUGAAGCUCACGCACCACAACUCCUGAAGCUCACACACCACAACUAGAGUCCGUGUGCCACAAUGGAAGAUCCCUCAUGACUCAACCAAGACCUGACAUAGCCAAAGAAAGAAAGAAAGUAUCAAAUGGCAACGCUAAAAAUGAAAAACAUGACUGUGCCUUUCAUGGCUCAGCAGGAGAUGACACAGCUAAGGAAAAAAUCAGCAAAUUCAAAGACAGGACAAUGGAAAUUACCCAAAUGGAAACACAAAGAAACAAAAUUGUAGGAGGAAGAAACAGAACAGAGAUCACAGGGCUGUGGGAGAACAUGUCUAACAGAGAGAGAACAGGGUAGGAGAAAUAUUUGAAAACAAUAAUGGCUGAGAAUUUUCCAAAAUGAAUGAAGUUUAUCUACCACACAAAUUUCUCACCACAGCCUCUUCAACAUUACAUUUGGGGGCUAUUUCAAAUAGCAGUCACCAACAAAAAAGCUCAGAAAUGUGAAAAAACAUGGAACUAAACUUUAGACCAUGAAGAAGACACUGGUUUACAGUAUAAGCACCAAAGAAAAAAAGCAGAGCGUCACCACAUUCAGCCUCAGCUGGGAAUGGGCGCACUGGAUGACUCCAGUUUCUGACCCCUCUUGCAUAAGCCCAUGAAUGACCGAAAAUGUGCUGUAUUAAUUUUGAGGUUACAAAUAAAUUUUUAGUGAGUAGGCAAAUUUGUAAAUAGGGAAUCCACAAAUACAGAUAUUCCUCGAUUUUCUAAAGUUCACUUUACUCCACUUCGCUUUUCCUAAAGACCCAUAUUAGUACCUGUUUUCACUAACUCUAAGAAAUUCUAAAAGGAUUUUUGCUUUUAAAAAAAAAGGUGAAAAACACAGCAUUCAAUGUUUGUUUUGCAGCAAGUUGUGAUAGAGGCAGCGGGCACCCCAAGCAGUAAGAGUGGUCCUGCCAAGCUCCUUCCUGAGAACUACCCUCAGCAUCUCAACAUCAAAAAGUCGCCAUGGAUAUCACCUGUGUCUAUAGCAGGAGAAAUCUGUGAUGAGGAGCUACCAUAUUUGCAUAUGACUUGGAAGGCUAAAGAGAGGCCAAGAAGCCAUAAUUAUUAUUUCUCCAGCAACAGAGGGCAGACACAAAGCGAACCACAAGUGGAAAUUUUCACAGCAACCUCCAGGCAUGUCUGAGGAACACCUCCCUUGGUCCUGCAACUGUACUCCCUGGGCUCUCUGACGCUCUAGAAGUUUGGAGGAAUCUGAGAGCUGGUAUCAGUUUUCCUGGACCUUGACUCUUCCAAUUGUUUUGUAAGCACCUUAUCUCCAGUAUUGAAUUCCUUCCUAUUUGAAGCCCCAAGUCCUAUUUUCUCAACCAAACCCAGACUAAUACACAUGCCCUAGGGAAAAAAAAUACAAUUUGGAGGAAGACAGGAAUAAAUAUUAAAUGCCCAACUUUAUAACAGUGGUCACAACUCAGGAUUUGCCAGUUAAGGUGGGGGUGUGACCUAAAUCAAACUCAAGGGCUUUGCAAGUCACUUUGGCCUCUUUAUCACAGAGGGGCACGUGAGAACGAACUGCUUUGUCUUCAAAAGUCCUGUCCCAUUUCCUAUUUAUAUUUUCCAGGGUAAGCCCUUAUCUUGGGCAAGGAUUUGUGUGCAAGCGAUUUCUGAAGGCAGUGCUUCCAGGGUAGACCAGUUAAGGGAGUGAGGAAAGCAGGACAAGAAAAGGAAAGCGGUGGAGUGUAAAUUACGCUUUAGUCUUUCUCCAGGCCAGGGAGCUGGGCUUGCAGACUUGCCGCGCAGUGAGUCACUGGCCAAGUGCCAUUCCUAGUUCCCGGGGCGGGGAUGGAGUGGCUCCGGUAGCCCCAGGGCAGACCUCCGAAGAGUGUUGCACGUGCUGGCUGUUAGCAGCAAAAGCACAGAGUUCAGAGUAGAGGCACCCAGAAAUUGGGAAAAGGGUUUAAAGAGGGCGGUGUGAAACACACACACUUUCUUUCCCAAAAUGCUGAAGAGGCAGGAUUAUUAGGGUGACUAGGCCCCAAAACUUGAAAGCCAUUCUGACUGGGGUUUAAGUCACAGCUGUGGCAGACACGGAGCUGACCCCUGAUACCGGUUAAUACAGAAGCUCUGAUGGUCAGCUGAGCCCAUGGCUGCGCAGAAUAAAAGCUGUAUUUCCCAGCCUCCCUAAAAGCCAUGUGGGGGGACGUGUCUUUAAAAGGAAGGACCACGGACUUCCCUGGUGAUCCAGUGGUUAAGAAUCCACCUGCCACAUGUCAAGAAGCAAGUAAGUCCAUGUGCGCCACAACUACCGAGCCCGCACUCUCGAGCCCGCACGCUGCAACUGCUGAAGCCCGCGUGCCCUAGAGCCCGUGCUCUGUGACAGGGGAAGCCCCCACUUGCCACAACUAGUGAAAGCCCUGCGAAGCCAAAAAUACAUACAUAAAUAGAGAAUAAAAGGGAGGGAGACCCUUCUUUAAGCCUUCUCCUUCCUACUGCCUGAAGUGUGGUCCUCAAUGCUAGAGCACGUGCAGCCCCCUUGAACCAAGAGGUGGAGAUAGGGCUGCCAGAUGAAGCAAAAA